GACGAACGCUGGCGGCGCGCCUAACACAUGCAAGUCGAACGAGAGAGAAGGAGCUUGCUUCUUCGAUCGAGUGGCGAACGGGUGAGUAACGCGUGAGGAACCUGCCUCAAAGAGGGGGACAACAGUUGGAAACGACUGCUAAUACCGCAUAAGCCCACGGGUCGGCAUCGACCUGAGGGAAAAGGAGCAAUCCGCUUUGAGAUGGCCUCGCGUCCGAUUAGCUAGUUGGUGAGGUAACGGCCCACCAAGGCGACGAUCGGUAGCCGGACUGAGAGGUUGAACGGCCACAUUGGGACUGAGACACGGCCCAGACUCCUACGGGAGGCAGCAGUGGGGAAUAUUGCACAAUGGGGGAAACCCUGAUGCAGCGACGCCGCGUGGAGGAAGAAGGUCUUCGGAUUGUAAACUCCUGUUGUUGAGGAAGAUAAUGAC
rnacentral:rRNA from 1 species